AUGGAUUCUGUGCGGGUGCGGUUGGCCAUAGCGUCUGUGACAGCCGGCGCCAACGCACACUUGCUGGACGACUUCAAGGCGACGCUGCCCAACCAGGCGUCGCUCGACGGCUGGACCGCGCGCGACGGUGCCUGCAGGUUCCCCGACGCGGUAUGCAGGGGCAAGCGCCUCACGUCGCUCUCGCUCUCCACCGUCCUACUCAAUACCGACAUCCGCGCGGUCGCGGCCACCCUGCUGCAGCUCAGCGGCGUCGAGAGGCUCAGCCUCCGCGGGGCCAACGUCAGCGAUGCGCUCGCAACGGCGGCCGCGGCAGCAAGCUCGAGGUGCUCGACCGCUCCGGAAAUCCCGUGUUGCGCGGUUCAGUCGCCGACGUGGCCGCGCUCUCCGGUUCCUGCAGCGGGCAAGUCGUUGAAUCUGUUCGGUGAUGCAGUUGGUGCAGCCAAGGACGCUGGUGGUGGCGGGCAGGGGUUUGCGGCCCUGGACGGCUAG
rnacentral:rRNA from 1 species